rnacentral:rRNA from 1 species
GACGAACGCUGGCGGCGUGCUUAACACAUGCAAGUCGAACGGAAAGGCCCUGCUUUUGUGGGGUGCUCGAGUGGCGAACGGGUGAGUAACACGUGAGUAACCUGCCCUUGACUUUGGGAUAACUUCAGGAAACUGGGGCUAAUACCGGAUAGGAGCUCCUGCUGCAUGGUGGGGGUUGGAAAGUUUCGGCGGUUGGGGAUGGACUCGCGGCUUAUCAGCUUGUUGGUGGGGUAGUGGCUUACCAAGGCUUUGACGGGUAGCCGGCCUGAGAGGGUGACCGGCCACAUUGGGACUGAGAGACGGCCCAGACUCAUACGGGAGGGAGCAGGGGGGAAUAUUGCACAGUGGGCGGAAGCCUGAUGCAGCAACGCCGCGUGCGGGAGGACGGCCUUCGGGUUGUAAACCGCUUUCGCCUGUGACGAAGCGUGAGUGACGGUAAUGGGGAAAGAAGCACCGGCUAACUACGU